rnacentral:rRNA from 1 species
UGGGGAAUCUUGCGCAAUGCGCGAAAGCGUGACGCAGCAACGCCGCGUGGGGGAAGACGGCCUUCGGGUUGUAAACCCCUUUCAGGAGGGACGAAGGUUCGCCGGUGAAUAGCCGUGCGGAUUGACGGUACCUCCACAAGAAGCUCCGGCUAACUACGUGCCAGCAGCCGCGGUAAUACGUAGGGAGCAAGCGUUGUCCGGAAUCAUUGGGCGUAAAGCGCGCGUAGGUGGCUUCGUAAGUCCGUUGUGAAAGUCAAAGGCUCAACCUUUGAAUGCCGAUGGAUACUGCGGAGCUAGAGUACGGAAGAGGCGAGUGGAAUUCCUGGUGUAGCGGUGGAAUGCGCAGAUAUCAGGAGGAACACCAAUAGCGAAGGCAGCUCGCUGGGACGUUACUGACACUAAGGCGCGAAAGCGUGGGGAGCGAACAGGAUUAGAUACCCCCGUAGUCC